rnacentral:lncRNA from 1 species
AUGAUGUCCUUGGGGAUUUUCAGUAGCAGGAGAACAAAACAGCUGAACCAGCAGCCAGUAUUUGGCUCUCUGGGCUUUUUGCAGACGUGGGCACCACCAGUGCCAGCAGCAAAGGAUGGUGCCUCAUGCAGUUCACAAGAAGAAAGUGAGGUGUUGGUGCCAUGGAUCCACCCACUGAGAAGAGUCCCACCAGUGCAAGAGGACUGUAGUAUAGGCAGAAGUACCAGCUUGGCCACAGCUUCCACUGAAUGUUUUUUAUCCUCUGAGAGCUCUGUAAGAUUGGCAUUAUCCUGUAGCAGUGUCACAGCCUGCAGUCAUUUAAUGCCUCUUCUUGUGAGGCCGGGAUUCCACGCCCAAGUGCAUUUAGUAGGUACAGAUAAGGACUCGUGCACUGGUGUACUGGACUUACGGAGUAGCCCUAUGACUUGUGUUCUGUCAUUCUCAGACUCUCUAGUUGAAAACCUAAAUCUCAUAAAUGCAGGGCUGUAAUUACCACCUAGUAAAUCUUUGUACCUGUUGGUUGUUCUUUAAGGUCAAUUAGAUAAAAGAACUUUUCAGUCUCUCCAUACUAUGAAGGAAAAUCUUUCAUGCGGAAUUAAUGAAGCAGGAAUGCUUCUUGCUGUAGUGGUCUGCUCUCUGCUCCAAUACAGCUGCAUGCAUGAGCAGCCUCCCUUUGCUUUGAAAACCUUAAGCUGCAUUCUUCAGAACAGUUGCUCGGUGUUGGUUGGAUUUCUUUGCAGCCUUUUUUUUUUUCCAUUUAGAGCCACUGAGGCUGACACAUAGUUUCCAAGAACUUCUGCAUGUCUUGUGUCUCCUGAAUCCCAAAUAUUUCUCAAGUGCCUAGCAGAAGAAUAUCUGGAUAAUCUUAGGCUGGUAAUACAACCUCAGAGAAGAAAGUCAGACAGCUCUGAAAAUACAGUGUAAAUUAUUUCAUUUUGUGUUAACUUGGUGUCUUUCUUACGUGUAUACUGCCAUUGUUACACUUAGAGCAUUCUCUAGAUCUGAAGAUGCUAUGAAAUUUCAGUAAUUCUAGCACUAAUAACAGCUUUUGCUGGUCACACUGUAAAUGAUAUUGCAUGAUGAUUCAUUUGAAAAUGUAAUAAUGUAGCUUGAAAAAUAAAAGAUGAGCAAUAAACUGAAACA